GGUGCCAUAGCUCAGUUGGUAGAGCAAAGGACUGAAAAUCCUUGUGUCCCCGGUUCGAUUCCUGGUGGCUCCA
rnacentral:tRNA from 1 species